UUUUCUUCUUUUGGCAUUUUCCCUGCUUUCCCUUUCGGUUUUCCCAUAUUUCUUCACCCCCAAUUAAUCUAUUAUUUCCCCCAAUUUCACUCUACUUUAAAAUCUAUUGCUCUCUGCUAUUCUUUCACUUUAUCUUGUCCUUAUCGCAUUGUGGUUCAAUUUGCUUUCCUGUGGUUGCUUCGACUAUUUUAAAUUUGUUGUUGCAGCAUUGAAGCAGCUAACGAAAUGGACCUGAUCAAUUCUUAUACUGGAGAUAUAAGACUAAUGAUAUAAUAGCUUUAUUAUUACUUAUGCAACAGUUGCAGAUGAAUCCAAUAAGUAAAAUGAUUUAUAAAUAUUCUUUCCUUUCCUUGAGGGUCGUGUGAAACAGUGAAAGCACUGCAACCUUUAAGAGUCCGCCUGGUAAGGAAUAAAGUAUAAAGCCAUUGCUCUCCACAUGUAACAUGUCAAUCAUGUUAUAACGUAAAUAUCAAACUACAUUCGACUUCCUAUUAAGUCUUCUCAUUUUUAAUUUAACUAUUUGCAAGAGGAUUAUUUGAAAGGAGAUAAAGAAAUUUAAAUCAUAUAAAGAAAUUUAAAUCGUAACCAGAUUGUUGCUGUAGCAAGUGAUCGAGUCAAAAGGAAAAUACAAGCUCCGUGUAAUAUUCCUCCUUUUUAUAUUUCAGUGAAAAAUACAAGAAAUGGUGUUGAUGUGUUCAUAUGUAGCAGUUAGACGAGAUUUCAAUCAAUGAAGCUGAUUUUGGUUGCUGAAGGCCUUUUUGGGUUAGCUCUGUUGGAAGAUCAUAUUAAAAAUGUUAAUGUUAAUUUGAAGGAAUAAAAAUCUGGAGCCUACAUUAACGUGUAGAUCUUACUGU